UGCAGCCGCGGUAAUUCCAGCUCCAAUAGCGUAUAUUAAAGUUGUUGCAGUUAAAAAGCUCGUAGUUGAAUUUCGGGAUCAGAUUGUCGGUCGUGCCUCGGUACGUACUGGCAUUAUUGGUUCCUACCUUCUGAAGAACCGCGAUGUCAUUAAUUUGGUGUCGUGGGGAAUCAGGACUGUUACUUUGAAAAAAUUAGAGUGUUUAAAGCAGGCGCACGCUUGAAUACAUUAGCAUGGGAUAAUGAAAUAGGACGUUUGAUUCUAUUUUGUUGGUUUCUAGGAUUGACGUAAUGAUUAAUAGGGAUAGUUGGGGGCAUUAGUAUUCAAUUGUCAGAGGUGAAAUUCUUGGAUUUAUUGAAGACUAACUACUGCGAAAGCAUUUGCCAAGGAUGUUUUCAUUAAUCAAGAACGAAAGUUAGGGGAUCGAAGACGAUCAGAUACCGUCGUAGUCUUAACCAUAAACUAUGCCGACUAGGGAUCGGAUGAUGUUAAUUUUUAAUGACUCAUUCGGCGCCUUAAC
rnacentral:rRNA from 1 species